UGGCUAAUUAGAAGCAUGAUUGUGUGUUGUUUGUUUCUUCUUCACAAAUCUCUCAAAACCAUUUGUUUUCUUCUUGUUUUGCAAUCGCAGAUCCGUGUUUCUUCGGGUCUCAUCACAAUGAAUGGCUUCUCUGAUCUUAAUCCUUCUGAGAGAAAAAUGGGGAUAUGGUGAAGGCUUCAAGUGGCUCUCUCAAUACAUCAAAUAGAUCGCCCUAUCCCUUUGAGUGUCUCUAUAGAAUCUCUGUCUGUUUUCCGUAAUUUGCUUCUUGUACUGUUUUCUCAUAUUUUGCUUCUCGUACUUUAGCUCUCUAUCUUGUAUUUAGAUUUGUAUUCUGAAUAUAUCAUCAGUUUCAUGUAAUUCAUCAGCGAAUGAUCUUGACUAA